CUUCAUGAAGCUGGAAUUGCUAGUAAUGGCAGGUCAGCAUACUGCCGUGAAUACGUUCCCGGGCCUUGUACACACCGCCCGUCACACCAUGGGAGUCGGUAACACCCGAAGCCUGUAGUCUAACCGCAAGGAGGACGCAGUCGAAGGUGGGAUUGAUGACUGGGGUGAAGUCGUAACAAGGUAUC
rnacentral:rRNA from 1 species